AGAGUUUGAUCCUGGCUCAGGAUGAACGCUAGCGGCAGGCUUAACACAUGCAAGUCGAGGGGUAGAUUACUUCGGUAAUUGAGACCGGCGCACGGGUGCGUAACGCGUAUACAAUCUACCUUUUACAGAGGGAUAGCCCAGAGAAAUUUGGAUUAAUACCUCAUAGUAUUUUUGAAUGGCAUCAUUUGAUUAUUAAAGUUCCAACGGUAAAAGAUGAGUAUGCGUCCCAUUAGCUAGAUGGUAAGGUAACGGCUUACCAUGGCUACGAUGGGUAGGGGUCCUGAGAGGGAGAUCCCCCACACUGGUACUGAGACACGGACCAGACUCCUACGGGAGGCAGCAGUGAGGAAUAUUGGACAAUGGGCGCAAGCCUGAUCCAGCCAUGCCGCGUGCAGGAAGAAGGUCCUAUGGAUUGUAAACUGCUUUUAUACAGGAAGAAACACCUCUACGUGUAGAGACUUGACGGUACUGUAUGAAUAAGGACCGGCUAACUCCGUGCCAGCAGCCGCGGUAAUACGGAGGGUCCAAGCGUUAUCCGGAAUCAUUGGGUUUAAAGGGUCCGUAGGCGGUUUAAUAAGUCAGUGGUGAAAGCCCAUCGCUCAACGAUGGAACGGCCAUUGAUACUGUUAAACUUGAAUUAUUAGGAAGUAACUAGAAUAUGUAGUGUAGCGGUGAAAUGCUUAGAGAUUACAUGGAAUACCAAUUGCGAAGGCAGGUUACUACUAAUAUAUUGACGCUGAUGGACGAAAGCGUGGGGAGCGAACAGGAUUAGAUACCCUGGUAGUCC
rnacentral:rRNA from 1 species